rnacentral:rRNA from 1 species
AGUGAACGCUGGCGGUAGGCCUAACACAUGCAAGUCGAACGGCGGCACAGGAGAGCUUGCUCUCUGGGUGGCGAGUGGCGGACGGGUGAGGAAUACAUCGGAAUCUACUUUUUCGUGGGGGAUAACGUAGGGAAACUUACGCUAAUACCGCAUACGACCUACGGGUGAAAGCAGGGGAUCUUCGGACCUUGCGCGAUUGAAUGAGCCGAUGUCGGAUUAGCUAGUUGGCGGGGUAAAGGCCCACCAAGGCGACGAUCCGUAGCUGGUCUGAGAGGAUGAUCAGCCACACUGGAACUGAGACACGGUCCAGACUCCUACGGGAGGCAGCAGUGGGGAAUAUUGGACAAUGGGCGCAAGCCUGAUCCAGCCAUACCGCGUGGGUGAAGAAGGCCUUCGGGUUGUAAAGCCCUUUUGUUGGGAAAGAAAUCCAGCUGGUUAAUACCCGGUUGGGAUGACGGUACCCAAAGAAUAAGCACCGGCUAACUUCGUGCCAGCAGCCGCGGUAA